rnacentral:rRNA from 1 species
CAGGCCUAAUACAUGCAAGUCGAACGGCAGCACAGCAGAGCUUGCUCUGUGGGUGGCGAGUGGCGGACGGGUGAGGAAUACGUAGGAAUCUGCCCUUAAGUGGGGGAUAACCAGGGGAAACCCUGACUAAUACCGCAUGAUCUCUUCGGAGCAAAGAGGGGGACCGCAAGGCCUCUCGCUUCUGGAUGAGCCUACGUCUGAUUAGCUAGUUGGUAGGGUAAAGGCCUACCAAGGCGACGAUCAGUAACUGGUCUGAGAGGAUGAUCAGUCACACCGGAACUGAGACACGGUCCGGACUCCUACGGGAGGCAGCAGUGGGGAAUAUUGGACAAUGGGCGCAAGCCUGAUCCAGCAAUGCCGCGUGUGUGAAGAAGGCCUUCGGGUUGUAAAGCACUUUAGCCUGGAAAGAAAAAACUUUGGUUAACACCCAAAGUCUUGACGGUACCAGGAGAAUAAGCACCGGCUAACUCUGUGCCAGCAGCCGCAGUAAAAC